rnacentral:rRNA from 1 species
AAAUUGAAGAGUUUGAUCAUGGCUCAGAUUGAACGCUGGCGGCAGGCCUAACACAUGCAAGUCGAACGGUAACAGGAAGCAGCUUGCUGCUUUGCUGACGAGUGGCGGACGGGUGAGUAAUGUCUGGGAAACUGCCUGAUGGAGGGGGAUAACUACUGGAAACGGUAGCUAAUACCGCAUAACGUCGCAAGACCAAAGAGGGGGACCUUAGGGCCUCUUGCCAUCGGAUGUGCCCAGAUGGGAUUAGCUAGUAGGUGGGGUAACGGCUCACCUAGGC